GUGAUUACAGUCUCUGCACAAGCUGACAUUCCCGCCAGCAGGCUUUCUUCCUGCACAGUAUUCAUCAGCACUUGUUUGUGUUCUGGAGGUUAGUCAGUCUGACAGGGAUGAGAUGCAGUCUGAAGUACUUUCACUUUGCAUUUCCUGGGCGGAUGGGGGAAGAGUGUAGGUGGUCAGGAUGGGAUGUGGACUCAUGGUCAACACACUUCCCUAAGAAACACCAGCUGCGAUGCUGGACACAGCGACAAAUGACAACAACAUUUCUCAUCAGGGAGGUAAAUGAUGUGGCUGAUGUUUGUGAUUCCGUGGAUGUGCUGGAGCUAGUGUAAGUCAGUCUUGCACAUUGCUGGCUAGAAGAUGCAGGCUGCACUGAAGUACUCACGCAGUGCUGGAGUCUCUACAAUCUAGCCAUCCCAAGGAGACCCAGAUUCCAUUCUGCUUGAAGUCAGAUUCUCACCACUAAGCUUUAGCUGCACCCAAACUUGAAAGAUAUACUUGUACAAGUUAGCACUGCACAACUCCAGGGAGCUCGCUGUUUCAUGAUGGUCCUGGAAUCAUCUCAGACUCUCAUUCUCUCUUCCCAGAUCAGAUUGCUGGAAUAAUCUGGUAAAUAGACACCCAGUGAAGAUACAGACUCUACAGACCCUAAUGACCCUCUGAAGAUCUGCCAGGCAAUGGCCACCAUGGACAGGGCCAAUGUAUUUUGCCAAGGGUCCAACCUGCUGUCUCUUUUGCCUGUGUCUACGCAUUUGACAAUUUUUCUUGUCAGAGAAAACCAUCUAGUCAUCAUUGCUGUUUCCAGAGAAAUCAAGCAAUUUCUUCAAACUCCCAUUAGCAGAUGUUAAAUAAAGCAAAGGCUAGAAGUGGAGAAUGCACAGAAUCCUCAAAACUGAGAGUUGAAAGGGUCUCUAGAAAUCACCCAAGAAUUUCUUUCUCUUUAUAGAAAAUAAAUCUGAGGCUGCUUUCUUGGUAGUGGAAAGCUAUUAAAUGCAGCUCAAGUGUCUCUGGGGUAUACAUCCACUCCCUCUUGGUGCAAAGAUCCCCCACCUCCCAUUCACACACUAUGAUAAAAAUGUGAUAUUGUGCUUGUAUCCAGAAGUAAUAAAGCGUAAAUGUAUGAGAAAAAUGCAUAUUAUGAGUGCAUGCUUUAAUUUUUCUCUAAUGGAGAUCUGAGAAUAUGACUUUUGUUUCUUUAUUUUAUUUUUUGGUGUGUAUGUG
ensembl:lncRNA